rnacentral:tRNA from 1 species
GCGCUCGUGGCUCAGCUGGAUAGAGCGCCGGACUACGAAUCCGAAGGUCGCAGGUUCGAAUCCUGCCGGGCGCGCCA